CCGAGUUUACAACUCCCAAACUCCUGUGAACAUACCUUUGUUGCCUCGGCGGAUCAGUCCGCGCCCGUAAACGGGACGGCCCGCCGCAGGAAGCCCUAAACUCUGUUUCUAUAGUGGAACUUCUGAGUAAAAACAUAAUAAAUCA
rnacentral:misc_RNA from 1 species